rnacentral:rRNA from 1 species
UACGUAGGGUGCAAGCGUUAAUCGGAAUUACUGGGCGUAAAGCGUGCGUAGGCGGUUUUGUAAGUCUGUCGUGAAAUCCCCGGGCUCAACCUGGGAAUUGCGAUGGAGACUGCAAGGCUAGAAUCUGGCAGAGGGGGGUAGAAUUCCACGUGUAGCAGUGAAAUGCGUAGAGAUGUGGAGGAACACCGAUGGCGAAGGCAGCCCCCUGGGUCAAGAUUGACGCUCAUGCACGAAAGCGUGGGGAGCAAACAGG